rnacentral:rRNA from 1 species
UUUGUUACUUCAAACCAAUCGGACUUCGGUCUGACAUCAAGUGAUAUUGAACAAUUUAGCUGAUCGCACGGUCUAAGAACCGGCGACAUAUCCUUCAAAUGUCUGCCUUAUCAACUUUCGAUGGUAGAUUAUGCGCCUACCAUGGUUGUAACGGGUAACGGAGAAUCAGGGUUUGAUUCCGGAGAGGGAGCCUGAGAAACGGCUACCACAUCCAAGGAAGGCAGCAGGCACGCAAAUUACCCACUCCCGGCACGGGGAGGUAGUGACGAAAAAUAACAAGCUGGUCUCAAUGAGUUCCAGCAUUGUAAUGGGAACAAUUUAAAUCUUUUAUCGAGGAUCUAUUGGAGGGCAAGUCUGGUGCCAGCAGCCGCGGUAAUUCCAGCUCCAAUAGCAUAUGUUAAUGUUGUUGCGGUUAAAAAGCUCGUAGUUGGAUCUCGGCGGGCCGGGGGCGGUUCGCUCUCUGGCGUGACUGCCCCACAGGCCCGUGUUUUUGGCGGAGGUCGUCGGGUGCUCUUAACCGAGUGUCCUGCGGCGCCGUCAGGUUUACUUUGAAAAAAUUAGAGUGCUCCAGGCAGG